rnacentral:hammerhead_ribozyme from 1 species
CUACUACUGAAGAGUCCUAAACGAGGACAAAACAACUGUCCAGUAC